UUUAUGAUCACAAAAUCUUCGUCUGUCAAAAUACUAUUAUAUAUAAAAUAGUUUAUUUUGGCAUGACUGCUUUGGGUGAUAGGCAGGACGCCCUACCUAUUAUCCAAAGCAGCCUGCGAACUAUCGGAUACGUUAUGUGACACGUCGGAGCCUGUCGGCCGGACCCUUUUCGAUGCCGGGCCCGUGACAAAAGUCUCAGAUAUCAACCCCUUUCGACGUCUCUGCUGUAUUACAAUAAUUUCUUGCUGCAAAUAAACAAAUUUCUUAUUCCCUUUAUUAAUAAAUGAUAGGAUAUUUGAAUACAAUUCAAAUUGUGUAUGCAUCUGUGCAAUUUAUUUUUUAAUACUAAAUCGAUAUUGUGCAUAAUUCCGAUUUUUUGAGUAUUUUGCAGAUUAUCCGGGAUAUUAAUUUUCCGACCCUUCCGGUUAAUUGCGAGUCUAUUGUAUAUAUACUUAUCAGAGUGUCUAAAAUAUCGUCGCUUUUAGAAUAACAACACAUAACAUUCAAACUACGUGUUAAGCAUGUACAAGUAAACAUCGAUUACCUGUGGAUUAGUCACAAUUUUCAUAGCCCUUUAUUUGAUCUCGAUCAUGUAUAGUGACUGAUGUAAUCGAAUGAGCUAAACCCUGAAGUUGUUAUUACUCAUAUAAUAAUUCGCAAUGCUAUCAAGAUCAGUGUUGACGAAUUUUAUUUCGAUCACGUGGUCUUUGGUAUCAAACUAUAUUUUCUGUUAAAUUUCCCCAAAUUCUAUCUAUUAAUUUUCAUUGAUUAAAUAAAAUACAGUAAAAUAAACAACUAAAAUAAGGUGGAAAAAACAAUUAAAAUAUCGUACAACAAAAAUUAGUCGUCACGUCGUUUUUCAAUACGAAAUGCUUUGAUGGAUUUUCUUUUAGAAUUUUUCUUUUCGUAUUCAGCAAAUUUCACUUUUUUUCCCCUCAAAUCGAAAGCCAAAAAGAGUUGAUAUUACAUUUUGAAAUUUAUUUAUAGAAGUUAUUGAAGGAUUAGCCUGCGGACUGGAUCCUGAAGCCAAUAUUUUAUUUCAUUCCCGAAUAUUUAAAUUUCCAUUUUUAUUUCUUUUAUAAAAGGCAAUAUUUUUAUAUUUCUUAUAAUUAUUUAUUUGGGUUUUUUAAUGCUUAUUGAUGUCUUUGUAGAUACUUAAAGACAAAAUAUUAUAAAAUGUAAUAAAAGCAUUUAUCUGGUUCUGGAUGCCUGAUCUACCUAAAAUUCAAAUGUUCGAAUGUGGCUCUUUGAAAGUGUAAGGACCUCUGUACUAAAGCUAAAUAUUAUUUUGUUUCAUUUUUUGCCAUUAAUUACAAAAUAUAGCAAAGUGAAAUAUUGUAUUCAUUUAUUUAUUGCAGAAACAAAAGAACAAUUAAAAACAGCAAUAAUUAAACAGAAAUCAAAAUUAAAUGUGCAUCAAUUUGUUCAUAUAAAUAAAGAGCACGUAUAAAAAAAUAAAAUUUUUUAAAGUUUGUUCGUGAGUAUGGAAAGUACUACACGCUCGAAAAUCGUAUACAGGAUGAUUAAAAAGUAGAAAAUCAUUAAAAUACGUUACAUUAAUCUUUCCGUUAAACUGCUCUUACGUUAGUGAUUGUAAUUUAGCGCUGAUCAUGAUUGCAUAGCAAUUGAAAGUACUAAAUAAACUUUUUUAAUGAUUAACCUACUGCUGUCAGUGC
rnacentral:lncRNA from 1 species